AACGUAUAUACUCUCGUCCGGAGUGAGUGAGUUUGCUGCUCGCUAGCUGCUGCCAGGCGUGGCCGCGCGAGCGUCUCCAUUUGCAUCCUUGGCCUCGAGGUCUUUGCCUCGCUGUUUGUUCCUUAUUCUCAUGAAUUAUAAGUUUCCUUCACUUUCACCUCGUUCGUUACUCGCACUUCCUUUUUUCCGUUACACCUACUACGGGAUUCAAAGUUUGGCACGCGCUCCAGGGGCAAGGCAGGUGCGCGACAGGUGAUGACCGUCUCGACGAAUCCUUAGGAUGGGCGCCAGACUGGGCGGUUUCGUUGGGACGAAUGUGUGAAAUUUCUCCGUAACGCGAGGUAGGAUGCUCCUCGAGAAGGAUAAAGCUCCAGGCAUUCGUAUAGUUUCUCUACGGAGAAAUUGGGCGAGUGAAGCGAGACGAAGGGGAUGCGGUUUAACGUCGUUCCGGAGAAGCCCGAAAAGUGCAGAUCCUGCGAUCGAUCGAUCCGCUGAGAUGGGUGAAUUUUGUCGAGGAGUCGCGACUGUUUGUGCCGGUGGUGCAGAUAUAAAGGUUGAACCAUCGGAUGAUGUUAAUUCGGGAUAACGGUUCAGCGCUCCGUAUGGAUUCGGGGAAAACGGGGCCUCCUCCUUCCUUCUCGCAUAAUUUUGUUGGUAAUAUUUUCGAAUCAGUGCGUCAUCAGAUUUCCUCCACAUUACCUCGCACUCGUAUAGCAGCUAUAGGGGGCAUCGGUACCGGCAGGACUCUCUCCUCUCCUAUCUUUCAACCUCACACACGAGCUGUUCAUUUCACCCGAAGCGUACAGAAGCUGAAAACUCAUCAUCUCCGAGGCUUAAAGCGGAAAAAACCUUAAACAAACUCGGCACACGCUACGAAAUACGAAAAUUUUUAGCAAUUUUUUUGAGAAAAUUGUUUCCACCCCAACGAAAAACCCCGGAGAAUCGGAGACGCAAUUAUAUCCCAAUUUAUCGUAGCGACGAUCGGAUCGAAUAUGUUUCCUUUUUUUUUUUUUUUUUUCACGAGUGAAAAAGAUUUGAAGAAAUUUCAUCGUAGUUUCGUCGAAGUUGAACAAGUGCAAUGUGUUGCUGAUAAACUUUUGAUCGAUGUUAUGCAGUUGCGAGCUCGAUUUGCAAACAAACGUCGGUCGAAGACCCUCCGGUAGCGAACGAAAAAUAAAGAAAUGAGGAGGAAGAGGAUCGAGGACGACGAGGA